UCAGUUCGACUAUACAAGAUAAAGCUAUAGUGUACACAUGACCAAUUUUUGAAAAAUCUGCAGAAUAUCCUCAUUCGUGAACAGAAAGGACAAAACGACCACAUUUAUAAACAGGGAUGGUUGAGAUGAAAUUUUUGAACUUAAGCUGACGGGAAAACAAAAGCAGUGCCUCUAAAGCUAGGGAGCCGAGGGUAAAGCUAUGGACACACCACUCUACCUAGAUCCCACUUACAUUAGGUGGUACCUGGUAGAUUUGUGAAUGCUUAUUCAACAAAUAAUUGGAUAUUUGGAGUUGCCUUAUGACUUCUGUAAUUUCUUUUUGUACCGCAGUUUUCUCCUUUUCCUUGAAGUUUAAUUUUCUCUAUAGGUUGAUGUAACUGAAGUCAUUGCGGGCCAUUACUUAUUAUCCUGUAUUUGGUCAUCGUGUUGUUAAAACGUAGAUCUUACAAUUCUUAUUUUAGUAAUAUUGCUUCUCUUGUUGUGACUGCAUAGGUAGACACUUCAUUGUUGCGAGUUGUGACCACAGAUUUACCAACUGUAAAGCUUUUGUAAUGUGAAUAAGAUUAUGAAACAGGAAUAUGCUUCUUUUAUGAGAAGUAGGGUAGAUAAACUUUGUUUUCUGCUUUUGUUUCCAAAGAGCAUGUUAGUCAUUUGGAAUUUAUGAUCACAUUGGUUUGGGAUGAUUGAAGGGGAGCCUUGGAGUAACUGAUAAAGUUGCUAUGAUGUAGUUAGGAGGUCAUAGGUCCAAGCCGUGAAAAUAACCCCUUACAGAAAUGCAAGUUGAGGUUGUGUACAAUAGACUCUUGUGCUCUGGCCUUCUAUGGAUGCAACUUGAUUUUUGAUCAUAUUUGUUAUAAUUCAAAACUGAAGAUAUUGGCUUAGAGGGAAGGGAAAGUCAAGACACAAUCACAAACAUAGCAUAAAUACUGCUCAUUUGGAAAGUGUUGGAAGAUAUGUGAACUUUUUCUUACAUUGAUUACAAUGCGAGUUUCGACAUGAUACCUUACGUGUCAGAAAAUUGUAUACCUAAGGGCAUUUUUUACUUUUUAUAAGAUUUCAUGUGCAACGUGUCUUUAAACGUGUGCACUUACAUAGCCACGUAUUCUUUUUGCU